CAGUAGCCACGGUAAUACGUAGGUGGCAAGCGUUGUCCGGAAUUAUUGGGCGUAAAGGGCUCGCAGGCGGUUUCUUAAGUCUGAUGUGAAAGCCCCCGGCUCAACCGGGGAGGGUCAUUGGAAACUGGGAAACUUGAGUACAGAAGAGGAGAGUGGAAUUCCACGUGUAGCGGUGAAAUGCGUAGAGAUGUGGAGGAACACCAGUGGCGAAGGCGACUCUCUGGUCUGUAACUGACGCUGAGGAGCGAAAGCGUGGGGAGCAAACAGGAUUAGAUACCCGAGUAGUCCCUGUCUCUUAUAC
rnacentral:rRNA from 1 species